ACGUUUUUUUGGCCUUUAUUCCAAUGUUUGGAAACAAAUCCAAUAUAUGAUUAAAAUUGCUGUACAGUGUAUCAUAUUAAUUCCUAUAAUAUGUCACUUUAGUUUCUUGAACAGCAUGUUUAUUACCUUUUUUUCUUAAAAUGAUGUAUACAGGGUCAUUAAUUUAUUUUCAUUAUAUUCAACCAGAUACAAAUAGGCCUUCUGCAACCUUUUUAUUGUUUAAAUGGUAUGGAGUUUUAAUUACCUUUCAUAUGAAAAAUGACGUCUAAAUCUUAAAUUAUGUAUUAUUUAUAAUUAAAAUACUUUGAAAACUUUAAUUUAUUUAUUUUAAUAAGAUUAAGAAACGGACUAUAGCCAAUGCACGUUUUUCAAGAGUUGUCUCUCUUGGGGACAAUAAUGAAUGCUCCCAAGGGUUCAUGACCCUGAAUAUUGAGUAGGCUGUGAGGUGUGUCAUAUUAAAGGUCAAAAGUUUUAGCGAAUUUAAAAAAAAACCAAUAAAUUUCUUCAAACACACGCUUUCAAAUAUUUAUAUUUGCAUGUAUCUUUAAUGAUUUAGCUACUGUAGAUGUACGAGUGAAUCAAGUCUAUCCCCAUCGUACUCUCCUGCACAUGAUAACUGGCCCCCGGCAGUAACAGAUUCUACAUCAUUCGCAGAUGCGCAAGACUCAACCAUCACAACGUUUAGGGGUAUUCAAAAUAGGGAUUCCAUAUAAGCGCCAGACAAGAGAUUUUCAAUGCUCAUCACCACUUGGUGGGUGAAUCUGACCAGCAUCGACAACAUCCAUAACUUCACACGCUUAGGCUGUGAGCUACUGUAGAUGUACGAGUGAAUCAAGUCUAUCCCCAUCGUACUCUCCUGCACAUGAUAACUGGCCCCCGGCAGUAACAGAUUCUACAUCAUUCGCAGAUGCGCAAGACUCAACCAUCACAACGUUUAGGGGUAUUCAAAAUAGGGAUUCCAUAUAAGCGCCAGACAAGAGAUUUUCAAUGCUCAUCACCACUUGGUGGGUGAAUCUGACCAGCAUCGACAACAUCCAUAACUUCACAAUCUACUUCAGGACGAACACUAAUCGUUGGUGUGUCAAUCAGUUUAUAGUGUGUACAUUUUUUUUUAAAAAAAUACCAUUUGUAAUACUUUGCAAAAGUUAGAUCAACUUUUGUCAUAUAUACAUGUAUUUUUUUUUUUCAAAAACGGUUUCUAGCAGGCAGGACAAGUACGUCGAAUUCGGAUUAGUAUUGUAUUUACUUUUUUGUCGUUUUUACAUUCAAUCCUGUCUUUACUUUUAAAAGUGAUGUUUUUAGUUGUAUUUUUUAAACUUAAUAAAGGUUUUAAUUCACCUCUAUAUUGAAUGUCCUUGUUAUUUCUGAGAUAAUUAUAGUUACCGUGUACUGUCUAUUGACCGUAGUCGCCAGAGAUCAACCAACUUUUUAAUAUCUUGCUACAAAAUGGAAAGAUGCCAAAGGAAUGGAAUCUUUCACUCAUUACAUCAUUAUACAAAAAUGGCGACCCUAAUAAUAAAAACAAUUAUAGAGGUUUCAGUGUUGCAAGUUGUUAAAGAAAACUCUUUACAGGUCUUUACAGAAAUGCUUGGAUAAUUAUCUCGAAUCAAAUAAUCAGACUUAACUCAAUAUGAGUUAAGUCCAGUUAUUGAAAUGAAUAGAAAACUAGCUGAUCCAAGAAAGAUAACUCUCAAUUACCUCUAUUGGUUUCACAUGUAUAAUUUAGAGAUAA